AAGCAGCUUUUUCAAGUGUCAGUAGCGGGACGUUCUGUCAAUCGGGGAAGGUUUUUGGUGACAAGACCUGGAGAUAUCAGAAGUGAGAAUGCUGACAUGAGUAACGAGAAAUCCUGUGAAAAACACGAUCGCCUGCCAGUGGAAGGCUUUCUGCGUUCAGUCAAUCUACGCAGAGUGAAUCGGUCCCUAAGGAACCCCCAAAAGGGCUGCCGUUCGAUGGGUACACGAAAGUGACGAAGUUGCUUUGACUACUGAACCAUGCCUGGAUCGUCGGAGCGAAUUGGAUGAUCGGGCCGAGGGCUGCCCCCUCUUCCCCUCGCUCUCCUUUCCUUAAUAUUCACCGUCGAGUGAUCAAAGCCGUCAACUAAUUCAGAGGGGCUCGGCUGGCCCGGUCGCCCUACGCUACUGGCGCUUCCAAAGGCGAAGCUCUCGUCUUUGGCGACCAGCAAACGGAGGGCUAAAACCUGUAGUUUUGAAGCAAGGGAUGAGCGCGAAAGCCGUUGCGCUUCCGUACACGCGCAUGGUUUUCUUGCUGGGGCGGACACGGAUUUCUCUCUAAAGGCGAAGAAAAAGAAGUGGGCGAACACUCGGCCCAGCGGGCGAACAUGCCGGCUCCGGCUCCGCGCACCUGCUGACACCUUUCGAAGCACUUUCACGUGUGAACCGAAGUCGUCUUGCCGAACUCCUUCCUUUCUCAUUUCAGUCCUCGCCUUUUUCAUCUU
rnacentral:ncRNA from 1 species